rnacentral:tRNA from 1 species
GUUAAGUUGGCAGAGAAUAUGUGAUUGAGUUAGGUUCAAUAGAAGAAAGUAAAUUUUCACUUAACU